rnacentral:rRNA from 1 species
GAUGAACGCUGGCGGCGUGCCUAAUACAUGCAAGUCGAGCGAACAGACGAGGAGCUUGCUCCUUCGACGUUAGCGGCGGACGGGUGAGUAACACGUAGGUAACCUACCUAUAAGACUGGGAUAACUUCGGGAAACCGGAGCUAAUACCGGAUAAUAUUUCGAACCGCAUGGUUCGAUAGUGAAAGAUGGCUUUGCUAUCACUUAUAGAUGGACCUGCGCCGUAUUAGCUAGUUGGUAAGGUAACGGCUUACCAAGGCAACGAUACGUAGCCGACCUGAGAGGGUGAUCGGCCACACUGGAACUGAGACACGGUCCAGACGCCUAAGGGAGGCAGCAGUAGGGAAUCUGCCGCAAUGGGCGAAAGCCUGACGGAGCAACGCCGCGUGAGUGAUGAAGGUCUUCGGAUCGUAAAACUCUGUUAUUAGGGAAGAACAAACGUGUAAGUAACUGUGCACGUCUUGACGGUACCUAAUCAGAAAGCCACGGCUAACUACGUG